rnacentral:rRNA from 1 species
CUGAAGCCUGGUGCUUGCACCGGGUGGAUGAGUGGCGAACGGGUGAGUAACACGUGAGUAACCUGCCCCUGACUUCGGGAUAAGCCCGGGAAACUGGGUCUAAUACCGGAUACGACUGCCGGACGCAUGUCUGGUGGUGGAAAGUUUUUUCGGUUGGGGAUGGGCUCGCGGCCUAUCAGUUUGUUGGUGAGGUAAUGGCUCACCAAGACGACGACGGGUAGCCGGCCUGAGAGGGCGACCGGCCACACUGGGACUGAGACACGGCCCAGACUCCUACGGGAGGCAGCAGUGGGGAAUAUUGCACAAUGGGGGAAACCCUGAUGCAGCGACGCAGCGUGCGGGAUGACGGCCUUCGGGUUGUAAACCGCUUUCAGCAGGGAAGAAGCGCAAGUGACGGUACCUGCAGAAGAAGUACCGGCUAACUACGUGCCAGCAGCCGCGGUAAUACGUAGGGUACGAGCGUUGUCCGGAAUUAUUGGGCGUAAAGAGCUCGUAGGUGGUUGGUCACGUCUGCUGUGGAAACGCAACGCUUAACGUUGCGCGUGCAGUGGGUACGGGCUGACUAGAGUGCAGUAGGGGAGUCUGGAAUUCCUGGUGUAGCGGUGAAAUGCGCAGAUAUCAGGAGGAACACCGGUGGCGAAGGCGGGACUCUGGGCUGUAACUGACACUGAGGAGCGAAAGCAUGGGGAGCGAACAGGAUUAGAUACCCUGGUAGUCCAUGCCGUAAACGUUGGGCACUAGGUGUGGGGGGCAUUCCACGUUCUCCGCGCCGUAGCUAACGCAUUAAGUGCCCCGCCUGGGGAGUACGGUCGCAAGGCUAAAACUCAAAGGAAUUGACGGGGGCCCGCACAAGCGGCGGAGCAUGCGGAUUAAUUCGAUGCAACGCGAAGAACCUUACCAAGGCUUGACAUACACCGGACCGUCCUGGAAACAGGUCCUCUUCUUUGAAGCUGGUGUACAGGUGGGUGCAUGGUUGUCGUCAGCUCGUGUCGUGAGAUGUUUGGGUUAAGUCCCGCAACGAGCGCAACCCUCGUUCUAUGUUG